rnacentral:misc_RNA from 1 species
AUGGAGAAUUGAUGAACGCUGUUCAUCAAUAUAAGUUUCCGUGUUUCGUUUUGUUCAGUUUUGAGAGAACUUACUCUCAGAAAUAAAUGUAUGUUCUUUGAAAACUAGAUAACAGUGUAGCUCAUAUUUUUUAAUUUUAGU